GUCUUAAUAGCUUAACCUCAUAAAGCACUGGUCUUGUAAACCAGAGCCGGGUAUACUUACCCUUAAGACA
rnacentral:tRNA from 1 species